rnacentral:rRNA from 1 species
AUGCUCAUGCUGGAACGCCGGUACCAGAUCGAGAAGGAGAUCCAGGCGAGGCGCGCCGCCUGCGUCGUUGCCGGGCUGCCUUCGGACUCGCCGGAGCUGGAGAAGGAGGAGGAGAAGGCGGAGGAGGAGGAGGAAGAAGAGGAGCAACAGCCGGCUCCGAUGGAGAUGGCGGAGCCGAAGGACGAGGAGGAGGCGGAGCAAGAGCUGGCACUGGCUUCGGGCUUCAACAUGGAGGACGCGGAGGCAGAGUUUGCCGUCACCCAAGCGGACGAGAUGGCGGAGCAGCUGGCCAUCCCGGAGUCCAUCUAG